rnacentral:lncRNA from 1 species
UCCUUCCCAAGAGCUGCUAUCACUGGGAGAAAAAUGUACAUCUUUAGGCCCAGCCCACUGGGUGCCUGCAUUUUUCCAGCAGCCCUCGAGUCCUGUGGUGUUGCUAGUUAUUUUAAUUGAGUGACACACAAGGUGGGUAUGAAUGAAUUUUACAGCCAAUUAGGGCUAAGCAUGGAUUGUACAGGAAAGAGAGUCUUUUUAGUGCAAAUUUAUGGUCCACUCAAGACACAUAACUUAUGACAGGACUAGUAACCGCAGCUGAGCAGGCUUCUUUCCGGAGCCUCUUGUCCUCUAAACGGGUUUUUCUGGACACUUGCAGUAGGUAAGGAGGCUGUCGACUAUGGAACUGAGCGAAGACAGGUUCGGGGCUCACCCUUACCGAUCCGCUCCGCAAACCUCGGGAAUCCCUCUGCCUCUCUGUUCUGUUGUUCUUACCUAAACAAUAAGCUAUCGGCCUCAGCUGUCUCCGGGAAACUUUGAACUCUAAGAGGGCAGGUUUUACUUGUUCUCCUCGAAAUGCAUUUCAGACUGGGAGUGGAGUGUGGGAGCGGGAACAUUAAGUUAGAGCAGGCUGCAAACCCUCCACCUGGAAAUGUGUCUGCACUGCUGUCACCAGCCUGUCUGGGUCUCGGCUCUGUCCUUCCCUUGGUGUGUCCUGGGGUAGGCGUUGAAUGAGAAAACCAUGGUUGCAGAGGCAACACAUCCUUUCCUUGAACAGUGUGCACUUGAGGAACGAAUUAAGACCCGUAAACAAGGAUGAAAGCCCCCGCCCCGCAGACUUCAGCUCCUCCUCCAUGAAGGACGCCGCCUGGGAGAAAGCAUAAGGACAUAUAUAAACCGCUUUGCAAAAAGAGAGUGUAUGGAAUAAAAGAGAAAAUGAAGAAGAGGAGAAAGGCUGGAGUGCAAUGGUGUGAUCUCAGCUCACUGCAGCCUCAACCUCCCUGGCUCAGGUGAUUCUCCCACCUCAGCUUCCUGAUUAACUGGGAUUACAGUAAUGGUGAAAUUGCCGGUAAUCGCUAAGUAAAAACCACUGAAGAACAGGACAGAAGCCAAUGACCACCUCACCUCCACCGAGUGCCCUGCAGAAAAAGGAAAUGGAAAUCCUUCCUGUUAUUCUCCGCGUCCCUUCGUAGAAGGCUGCCUGAGAGGUCAGCACAGGAGUCCUCUAAGUGCCCUGCAGAGAACACGGGUCUCGGAGCCGGACAAACCUAAAUUUUGAAACCCACUUUGAGUUUGAACUUGGCUGUGGGAAAGUUACACAAUCGCUCUAAGCCUCUGUUUUCUCAUCAGUAAAACAGAGAGGGGUUGCUUGUGUGAGAAGUGGCCGCUGCCAAUCAUCUGCGUGUCCUUCACUCUCCCAGGGGCCAUGGGUCUGUAUUCUACACAUGUGGGAUCUUCCUCUGGACCCUUCGGACAUGGUCCACACGCUGCCCUCAGGAUCUGCUGGGGUCUGCAUGGGGGGUGAGACGUGAACCCCAACCACGUUCACCACAGAGAGGAAACUGGGGGGAUGGAGGGGGGGACAAGGCCAGGUCACCUUCAGGUGCCGCCCGCCAGCAAGGCGGUUUGCACCCGGCUGAAUGAGCUUUAAAAAAGACAGUUUUUUCUGUAGUUUAGAAUCAUGGUUUCACUAAAUGGUGAAAUAAUUUUAUGCCACUUCCCCUACUAAUUACCAUCUCAUUGUUAUUAGAAAGGAUGGUUUCCUUGAAGUCUAGAAAAUUUUGUUCCAGUCCAUUUCAACGGUGCAGGAGAAACGUGGCUUCCAUUCCGAGGAAGACGGCGACACCUAGUGACCGUUCCCUCGCGGUGCGAUGGCCUCACACCUGUGCGGCGGGUCGUCCGGGGCGUAGGGUGCUGCGGCCUUGCGGUCUUCCCUGCGCUGCAAGGCAGGGCAUGGUGGCAGAUUAACACCUGGAUGAACACGGGCAGGUCAGGAGACAAAUAAAACCCAGAGGUCUUUGAAACUUCAAAAUCCCGUAGGGUGUGUGACCCCAGUGAGCCCCACGCUACAUCCAGCGAGAACCGAGAAGUGAUGGUGCAGACAUUCUUGGGUCCCCCAGACAGAACACACCGGGAGUUACUGCCUCUUUCUCAUCCCGAGUCCUCCUGACUUUCCCCAGCACCCAUCGUGGCUGCAGCCAGGACACAGGUAAAUGUAAUUUCCCUCCCCUUCCAUCCUCGCUUUCACAUCGGUGUGAUUGACUGAGGGCCUGCAGACUCUCUCCACGUGCGGGUGCCCUGCAGCCUGACACACAAAUGCGUUCAUCCUUCCCCUUUAUCCUGACCCCGAACUAAUGACGCAGCUUCCUGAGACACAGAGGAUGCUUCUCCUCGUCCCCCCUCGCGCUCUGAAGUGGGAAAAGAUGUGUUCCAUCUGUUCUGGAAUUUUCACUGUAAAGAAGAGAAUGAAUUUUAACUGUGUUUUUGACAUAUCCCUAAACAAGAAGUGGUUUAUAGAGUGAAACCAUUUUCCCUUCAUCUAAAAUUUAAAAAAAAAAAAAAAGAGAGAGAAAAGUGCAAGACUGAAGAUGUGUGUUGAGCGGGGUGAGGAAGCGUGGGGGACUCGGCGCUGGAGGAGCCCCGGGUGUGUUUAGGGUUUGUGGUCAGGGGCCCUGGGCACCAGGUCCAGUCUGAAGCACCCGGGGGGAUGGACGAUGUUUGUGUAAGAGAGGGACAAAGGGAUGGCAGGGUGGCCAAGCAGAGACGCGAUUCCCUCUGUGCCCUUCCUGGACCAGCUUUGUAUUCUAACAGCAACGUCUCUGUUCUUGGGAAGAGCUCCUCGGUGAUUACCUGCCCGCCCCUUGUCUCCUCUUAUUCCCGCUGCCACAGGGCAGGGCCGCCCAGCUCCAGCUCAGACACACACCUGCUCCAACUGCUGUGCUGGUCACAGGCCCAGAGCACCACGUGUCCUCUGGGGUCUGUGUGGUCGGCGCCGUGCGUGGGACCACUGUGAGUGACCCUCCUCUUGUGUCACAGAGCCACUGUACCCGUGUGCACCUGUGCUCUGAGACCUGGAUACCCCUGGAAGGACAGACACCGAGGACCCGAGUGCACUGGAGUCCCGCUCCCACAGAUCCUGCUGCUGGGAGAACUGUCAGCCAGGAACGGGACUGCGGUGGGGAAUUCCUUCUGUCAACACACUUUCUAAUCUAAGCUCCAGACUCCACUUCCAGACUAGCACAGGCUUUUUCCCCCACAUCUCCUUCUCUGCAGCCGGGGCUCCUGCCGGGUCUGCGGAGCCCAGAGCCAUGCUCUCUGCCGACUCCAUCUCCAGAUGCCUGCCCCGGCACCCACGCUGUUGCCAGGACACCAGUGAACCCAGACAGGGUGAGCAGGUUGCAGCAGGGUACCGGGAGGAAUGCCCGGCUGGCCCAUGUCUUGAAAUCAGUCUCAUUGAACAAUCCGGGAAAGAGAUGACCUAGCCUAUUCUAAGGCUAUCGAUGUGAAUUGGAUUCUUCCAUUUCCCCUGAAUUCUCUGAUUAAAAUGAUAAUUAUGCAAUA